rnacentral:lncRNA from 13 species
AACCUGACACCGAUGCCACCCUGAGCCCCGCACGUUCCUGCUCUCUGGUCUGUAAGUGUUGAACACACUGUAAGUGGGUAGUUGGGGUGGGGGGUGGAGGCUCUCUAUCAGGCCCUCUGAUCUGCCCCUUGCCCCAGAAAGAACCCAGCAGCUCAGCCCUCUGUGAUCUGUCCCUGCUCACAAGGCUGGCUCCACUUCCUGGGCCUCCUUGACCUUAAUAAACAAAGGUCUCCUACGAGCAGAUAACAAAAAAGCAAACAACUGCAUGGAAAACUGAGCCAAGAUAGUUCCAGGCAAUUCUCAGAAGAGGCGCUCCAGGCAUCCUACAAGCACGGGCAAAGAUGCUCAGACUCUCGAAGUGUCAGGAACACUCCUGCCAGAACAGCACCCGUGACAAUGACAAAAAUUCAAAAGAGUGCUAGCAUCUAAGGCAAAUGAGGUUGUGGGAACGCAGGCACCUAUCCUGGUCAUUGCCAGCAGGAGGACAAAUUGUUACAUGUUGUGCAAAGUAACUGUAAUUUUUAUUAUAAUUAAAAAUGUCUGUGAGGCCAAGCACAGUGGCUCACACCUGUAAUUCCAGCAUUUUGGGAGGCCUAGGUGGGAGGAUCACUUGAGGUCAGGAGUUCCAGACUAGCCUGGCCAACACAGUGAAACCCAGUCUCUACCAAUAAUACAAAAAUUAGCUGUGCGUGAUGGUGUGCGCCUGUAAUUCCAGCUACUCGAGAGGCUGAGGCAGGAGAAGUGCUUGACCCCGGGAGGCAGAGGUUGUAGUGAGCCGAGACCACGCCAUUUCACUCCAGCCUGGCGACAGAGCAAGACUUUCUCUCAAACAAACAAAAAACAAAACAAACAAAAGUUCUUUAAUUCCUUUUUUGAUCCACCUGUUAAGAAAUGGCUGAAUUCCCAAGACUCUGCCCCUUGGAUUCCACGUUGACUCAUGUUCACACUGCCACUAUGCUCCUUUCUACUGUCUGCAUUUUCCUGUUAUUUCCUGGCUCAAUAAUUAAUUUUCAACCUUUCAUUGUGUCUUUAUUUGAGAUGUGUCUCAUAUAAACAGCAUCUACUUGGAUUUUCUUUUUUCCAGUUUGAUAGGAAAAUUCAUAAUUUAC